CUCCCCGUCGCCCUGGUUCGGCCUCCCUCCCUCCCCCGCCAGCAGAGGCCGCUGUCCCACGGGCUGGUCCCGUUGGCGCCGGGGCCGGGCCUCCUUGGAGCGCCUGGCUGCAGCCUCCGGAACUGUCUCCGCACAAACCGAAACAAUUUCGAGAGAGAUGUGUGUUCUGCAACCAGCCACAGAAUAACAGGUGAGCUGGGCGUGUCUUCACUGACCCACCCGCCCAGGGAUGCUGCACUCCUCCACCCUGCUCAGGAUCACUGCAAUGACCGUUCUGUGGCUACAGCCCUAAAAGAGCUACUAAAAAGACCAGAAGUCGUAUGAGAACUUAUGAAUACAAAUAUAAAUAAAGGACAUCUGGAGAACAUGCA